GAUGAACGCUGGCGGCGUGCCUAAUACAUGCAAGUCGAGCGAACGGACGCGAAGCUUGCGGCUCUGAUGUUAGCGGCGGACGGGUGAGUAACGCGUGGAUAACCUACCUAUAAGACUGGGAUAACCUCGGGAAACCGGAGCUAAUACCGGAUAAUCUUUUGAACCGCAUGGUUCAAUAGUGAAAGACGGUCUUGCUGUCACUUAUAGAUGGAUCCGCGCUGCAUUAGCUAGUUGUUAAGGUAACGGCUUACCAAGGCAACCAUGCAUAACCUACCUGAGAGGGUGAUAGGCGACCUUGGAACGUGGACAGGGUCAAGACUCCUAAGGGAGGGAGCAGUAGGGAAUGUGAGGCAAUGGGCGAAAGCCUGACGGAGCGACGCCGCGUGAGUGAUGAAGGCCUUGGGAUCGUAAAACUCGGUUAUGAGGGAAGAACAUAUGUGUAAGUAACUGUGGACAUAGUGACGGUACCGAAUCAGAAAGCCACGGCUAACUACGUG
rnacentral:rRNA from 1 species